CUGUCCCUAUCUCUUUUCUCUCUUGUUCUCGCCAAAAACAGCACCUCUCUCUCUCUCUCUCUCCCUCUCACAGGUGAGUCCUCUCAUUUCAUUUCUCUCCUUGUUAUGUUGGGUUGACAUAACAUAAUGCGGUUAAUGGUUUGAGAUUUUUUUUUAAUUAGAUGCCAAGAAAUAAGAGAAAUCCCAGGCGAAGAAAGAAAAUGAGUCUGAAAGACUUUAUAGUUGCUGAUCUACGCACAAAGUUGAUCACAUGUUGGAAUUGGGGGAUUAGGAAAAAGACAUGGCUAAAACUUCGACAUCUAAGCGAACGCAAAUUACAGAGGCCAAGUCUGCUUUCUCCCGAAGGUCCAAGACACUAAAAGAGUCUAAUAUGCUUUUCAAAUCAUCUCAGCUGUUGAUGGAGCGGGAGGUGAAAUUCUCCUCAAUUGAUGAUAACUCUUUGAAUUAUUAAACAGAGUUGGGGAAUCACUACAAAAAAGAUUGCUAUUUGCGACGAAACUUUUUCGACGAUUACAAAAAACCAUCGUAAAAACUAGCUUUUUGGACGGCAAGUCUCUUCCAUCGACAAUGACUUGUCAAAUAUCAACACAUUUUGUGACGGCAAAAUGAGUCUGUCAAAAAUGCUUAUUAUUUUUGUCGAAAAUGUGAUUUUUUUUUUAGGGAAAUGUUCCCGCCUUACUUUUUACGACGGCAUAAAAAUGUUCGUCGCUAGUAAGGUAUUAUUUAUGACAACUAAAGAAAAACCGUCGAAACUAUUAACACUUGUGAUGGCUUUGGUACAUCGAAAAUACAAAAUAUAUAUUUUUUAUGGUAUUA